UUGGUAGAGACAAUCCUGAGAGCCAAAGUGUUACCAUGUAAUAUUUUUAUCUCAUUAUGAUCCUCUUCUUUCUCUCACUUUAUUAGUGUCCCUAUGCCUCAAAAACAAAGGACCUGUGGAUGCACUGAGUCACAACCAGAACAUGAACUAUGGGGUUCGCAAGGUCGGUCCCUGCCAAACCCAAGGGAGAGAAGCCCUUCCUGACUCUCAUUUUCUCUGCAAGACUGUGGAGGAGAAAAUAGACACACAUGAAAACAGAGGAAACUAAUAUAAUUUCUGGUGCACCCUGGUCGGGGCACCCCCAGACAGGGAGAGAAACACUAUGAUUCUAUGAUACUUUCUACUGAAACAGAAAGUGGAUGCUUUGCCAGGUCACACCUCUACAAGCCCGAAUAAGAGCCCAGAAGAGAAAAUAACUCAUAGGCACCUGCUUCAGCCUGGUAGGAAAAGGAAGGAAGACACUCUGAAGCAAGGAAAAGGAAAUUGGAGACUCUUGGUGCAAAGACAGGUGAGACAUAACCACUGCAAAAUGAAACCACGUCACUGCUUGCCAGUGUUUAAUGCAAAGCACAGAGGAAAAGAACAGCAGGUUGAGGAAAUAUCAGGAGACACCCACCGAGGUUUUCUUAGCAACUUGGAUAAACAGAGUAGAGGAAGAGGGGAACAAAAUGUAGUGGUUAAAAUGGAAUAAAAACAUACCCGAGAACACAGCUCACAGGGAGGCCCUACCUACCAAGAACACAAGACAGAACACAAUCUCCACUGUGAGAAGAUUAGGCAGAGGUGGUGCUGUCUGUUGGUGAUGAUCAGAUGAGGGGGAAGAAAAAAGCAAGUGAUAAUGAAAUCUCAACCAUCAUCCAUGUUGCAAAGUUUACUAUUACUGAAGAAGUUAUUCCUGAAGCCAUAAGCUCACUACUCUCUUACAACGGCUCCUCUCUGUGUGCUCAUCUAAUAUCUCACUUCUCCAAGAAAAUACCUGAAUAUAUUUCACCACAAGCAGUUAACAAGGAAGCAAGAAAUCACUUGAUCCCAGUAGAUCAGCAGGGGAUGCACUAAGACCAAAACAAAACCAUUAAUCUUCAGGUGGUUCUAACGUCCAACAUACUUACACAAAAGCAUUGAUAAGCAUUUCUUAGCUUGUACUUAAUGUUGCUCAUGUUCACAAAAUAAGUUAACCAAACUAAUGCUCCUCCAUUUACUCAACUAAACUGUACUAUCCUCCUGCUGCUCUGCUUGAUCUUGCAGGUGGCAGGAUACAGUUUAGAGAAACUCUAAAAUGUUUUAAAGUACUUUUUGCUUCCUGUUCCUUUUGCAAUUCUCUUGGUUUUAAUACUGCACAAAAAAAAAAAAAAAAAAAAAAAAAAAAAAAAAAAAGAUUCUUCACAAUCUUCUUCACUUUGCUUUUAUUUUUAUUUUUUUCACAGUGUUCUAUCCUCCAAGAUUCUAUGAAUCCUAAAUGCAGAGCUUAAGCCUGAUAAUGAUUUAGAAAUCUUAAGAAUCUAAGAAAUACUUCUAAUUUAAUUUAAUGGUUUUGCCCUUUCUUGAAGAAAAUGUCUUCCACAUCCAUUUAAAAAUCUAAGAUGUUUAUAUGAUCAAAAUACCUGAAUAACCACAGUGAAAAUUCUUUAUUUAUUUUUGCUACUCUAGCAAAUCACCCUGCACCUCUGCAGUAAUAAUAUCCAUCAAGAAUUCCAACCAGCUAAGGCAUGAUCUCCACUUCCUGAGAACAUGUGGCUGUUCUGAGGCUGUCGAUUUUUCCAAGGGUAUCUCUAUUUGAUCUCUUGAAACAGUUUUGUCCCGUAUGAGGCUAAAGGCACUGAUAUACAAUUUCUAAGUAAAUCCCUGGGCUGCUUUUUUGAUGAUGGGGUUAUGCUAACCAUGGCCCAGUCCUUGGAGAUCUUACUUGUACUAAUCAAAAAUGUAAAAUAUAUCUGCUUAAGCUUCUUCAAUUUCUAACCCCUCUAUCCUUAACGGCUUUGGACAAAUAUUGUUUGGCCUGAUGCCUUGUCAACAAUAUCAUCCCUUGAUUCUU